CCUAGAGCAUAUAAAGCCCGACACCCAUCUCAACCCACAUGCAGAUUUGGAUCCAAAACCAAUAAAAAUUCAUAUAAAUAAACUUUUCAACCCAAAACCCAAAAUCCAUAAACAAAAUCCCAAAAACCCAAAAUCUACAAACAAAAUCUCAAAAAUCCAAAGUCCACAAAUAAAGAUCCAAAACCCAAAGUCCACAAAUAAAGAUCCAAAACCCAAAAUCCACAAUCAAAAUCCCAAAAAUCGAAAGUCCACAAAUAAAGAUCCAAAACCCAAAGUCCACAAAUAACGAUCCAAAAUCCAAAACCCACAAAUAAAAUCCAACAAAAUCUACUAAACCUAUGUCAUCCAAAUACCUCCAACCCAAACCGAAUUCAUGGGCUUUCCAAAUGGGCCCCUUAUUAUGGAUUAAUUCUAUGAAUUAAUUUUUUGGGCUUUCCAAAUGGACCCCUUAUCAUAAAUUAAUUCUACGAAUUUAUUUCAUGGGUUUGCAAAAUAGGUCCCUUAUCAUGAAUUAAUUUUAUGGACUUUCCAAAUGGGCCCCUUAGUAUGAAUUAAUUCUAUGAAUUAAUUUCUUGGGCUUUCCAACUGGACCCCUUAUCAUGAAUUAAUUCUACAAAUUAAUUUCAUGGGUUUGCAAAAUAGGCCCUUAUCACGUAUUAAUUCUAUGAAUUAAUUUCAUGGGCCCUCCUUGUUAUAAAUUAAUUUCAUGAACUAAUGGGCCUUCCAAAUGGCUCCUUAUCAUAAAUUAAUUUUAUUCAAUGAGCUCUCUAAAUGGCCCCUAUCAUGAAUUAAUUUUAUCAAUUAAUUCAAUGGACUUUACAAAUGGGCUCCUAGUAUAAAUUAAUUUCAUGAACCAAUUUCAUGAGAUUCGACUCAAUCGACCGUCAUGUCGCUAAACUAAGCAUCUCAACUUCAGUCGACCAUCAAGUCGCUAAACUGAGCAAAUCAAAUUAAGAUAUGACCAUCAAGUCGUUAAAUUGAAUAUUUGACCAUCAAGUCGUUAAACUGAACAUCUGACCGCUAUAUCAUUAAACUGAGCACCAAACUCAAAUCGACUGCCAUGUCGCUAAACUUAGCAAGUCAAUUUAAAAUCGAUCGCAAUGUCAUUAAACUGAGCAACUCAAUUUAAAAACGACAGCCAUGUCGCUAAACUGAGCACCUCAAUUUCAAUCGACCGCCAAGUCGCUAAACUGAGCAAAUCAAGUUCAGAUUUGACCGUCAAGUCGUUAAACUGAACAAAUGACUGUUAAGUCAUUAAACUGAAUAUCCGACCGCCAUGUCAUUAAACUGAGCACCAAAACUCAAACCGACCGUCAUGUCAUUAAGCUAAGCAUCAAAACUCAAAUUGACCGCCAUGUCGCUAAACUGAGCAACUCAAUUUAAAAUCAACUGCCAUGUCGCUAAACUGAGCAUCUCAACUAAAAUCGACCGCCAUAUCGCUAAACUGAGCAACUCAAUCUAAAAUCGACCGCCAUGUCGCUAAACUUAGCAUCUCAAUUUGAUCCCAACUGAUCAUCAAGUCUAUAAACUGAGUAUUUAAUUUUAU
rnacentral:lncRNA from 1 species